rnacentral:lncRNA from 1 species
UCAGAUUUUAAAGCACAUUACUAACUCUAUUCUCACUAAUUUACAAAGAAAGUUAACAAAUCAAUGAUUAUUUCUAAAAUAUCGACAUAUCACAGUGUACUAUAAUACACAGUGAUACUAUGUAGUUUAUACAAUACUUUUGUAGACAUGUUUGCAUUUAAUUAUCACAAUAACCCAGUGAGUUGUUAGAUUAUUUCUCUCUUUUAGCUAUUAUGAAUAAUACUGCUAUAAGCAUUGUGUUCAAGUUUUUGUGUGGGCAUAUGUUUUUAAUUCUCUUGGGUGUGUAUAUCUAGGAGUAGAAUUGUCAUCUCACCUGGUUUACCCAUUUGAGGAAAUUUGUCAACUAUCUAUCCAUCUAUCCACCCAUUAAUCUGUCUUAUUUUUGGUGCCUUUUAACAUAAGUUGCAGAAAUCAUUACACUUAAGCCCUAAACAUUUUAGCAUGCAUAUCAUUAACUGAAAUUUAUUAUUUGUAUGUAGG